AAUCCGUGAUGUGAGCAUUUUUAAAUUAGUCUUUUAAAACGCUCCUAAGCUUUGUGAAAACUUUCUCCCUCUAAUUGUUUGAGCAUAAAAAUUUCCCUUCUUAGUUG
rfam:Gossypium raimondii chromosome 13, whole genome shotgun sequence.